UACCAAAUGUUUACUAUAUAUUGAGUUGUUAAUCAAAAUAAUAUAAUCUGAAAAAAGUAUGAAGUAAAUGAACUGAUUCUAAUGGUAAAAAAGUCUAAAAUUACCUAUUAAAAAGCCACAUGGAGAAAAUAUAACCAAUUUAUUGUUAACGAGAGAAUUAUUUUAUUUCAAGGACCACAAAAUGAUAAGGAAAAGACAGUGGUAUAAAUUUGCAGAUAAUUAAAUUGUUCCUAUUUUUUGAUAGGUUAUCUAUCAAAGUCUAAAAUGGAGAUAAAAGAAAAUCAUUUAUAUAAUAGUAAAAAUAUUUUUAAAAAAUCGUGAGAUCUUAAAUGUUUAUUGUAAUUGUAAUAUUUAUUAUUAAGAUAACACCAUUAUAACAAUCUCGGGUACAUAAAAUUUUAUAUGAAUAAACAUACCUUCGGUGGUAUCCAUUUCUUCCGGCGCGUCAUUCUGACUGUCACGUUCGACCAUGUGAUUCAUAAUAUUCUGAACUGGACUCGUUUUGAAUGUUUUAGAUUUUAUCCGUUUACCGAACCCUAGGGUACGUCUGUAUUCCGAAAAUUCUUUU